rnacentral:rRNA from 1 species
AACGUAGGACGCAAGCGUUAUCCGGAGUUACUGGGCGUAAAGGGCGCGUAGGCGGUCUUUUAAGUCUUGUGUGAAAUCCCUCGGCUUAACCGGGGAACUGCGUCCGAUACUGGUUGGCUUGAGUUUGGGAGAGGGAUGCGGAAUUCCAGGUGUAGCGGUGAAAUGCGUAGAUAUCUGGAGGAACACCGGUGGCGAAGGCGGCAUCCUGGACCAAUACUGACGCUGAGGAGCGAAAGCCAGGGGAGCAAACGGG